rnacentral:tRNA from 1 species
GGGCGGUUAGCUCAGCUGGUUAGAGCGUCUGGUUUACACCCAGAAGGUCGGGAGUUCGAAUCUCUCACCGCCCACCA